rnacentral:rRNA from 1 species
UACAUGGGGUGCAAACGUUGCUCGGAAUUAUUGGGCGUAAAGCGCACGUAGGCGGCUUUGUAAGUUAGAGGUGAAAGCCCGGGGCUCAACCCCGGAAUUGCCUUUAAGACUGCAUCGCUUGAAUCCAGGAGAGGUGAGUGGAAUUCCGAGUGUAGAGGUGAAAUUCGUAGAUAUUCGGAAGAACACCAGUGGCGAAGGCGGCUCACUGGACUGGUAUUGACGCUGAGGUGCGAAAGCGUGGGGAGCAAACAGG